CAGCCGCCACGGUAAUACAGAGGGUGCGAGCGUUAAUCGGAUUUACUGGGCGUAAAGCGUGCGUAGGCGGCUUUUUAAGUCGGAUGUGAAAUCCCUUAGCUUAACUUAGGAAUUGCAUUCGAUACUGGGAAGCUAGAGUAUGGGAGAGGAUGGUAGAAUUCCAGGUGUAGCGGUGAAAUGCGUAGAGAUCUGGAGGAAUACCGAUGGCGAAGGCAGCCAUCUGGCCUAAUACUGACGCUGAGGUACGAAAGCAUGGGGAGCAAACAGGAUUAGAUACCCGCGUAGUCCCUGUCUCUUAUAC
rnacentral:rRNA from 1 species